UACGUUUUAGUGUAUGGUGCACGGGAAUUUUUGAUAUUUCAGGGAAUGGUUUGACUCUAUUUAACGUAA